rnacentral:rRNA from 1 species
UACGUAGGGCGCGAGCGUUGUCCGGAUUUAUUGGGCGUAAAGAGCUCGUAGGCGGCUUGUCGCGUCGAAUGUGAAAUCCCGAGGCUCAACUUCGGGCUUGCAUUCGAUACGGGCAGGCUAGAGUUCGGUAGGGGAGACUGGAAUUCCUGGUGUAGCGGUGAAAUGCGCAGAUAUCAGGAGGAACACCGGUGGCGAAGGCGGGUCUCUGGGCCGAUACUGACGCUGAGGAGCGAAAGCGUGGGGAGCGAACAGG